UUUUUCUCAUUUUUGUCUUCCCCCCAAAUUUUCCCUCCCUCUCUCCAUCUACCCCAAAAUCUUCCUACCGUCGACCACCACAACACUACCCGCCACCGUCGACCACCACGCACGACCCGCCACCGUCGUUCUCCAUCUCCGACAGAGCGACCGCCGACGAGGUCCCCCACCAUCUGACGACCCAUACCCAACCACCGGCAGUCUUCCAGUUCCGGCCCUUUUCCAUCUCCGGCCGUCUUCUAGUUCCGGCAAACCAGCCUUUUUGUUUUUUUUCAGCUACCGUGACCCAGCUUCGCCACCGUCGAUCAUCACGCACGACCCACCACUAGGUACUGCCAGGCGCCAUCUCCGACGACCCAUACCCAUCUCUGUCUCCCUCCACGACGACCCAUCUCCAUCUCUUCCCACCGAAUAGAUCUGACGAGCCCAACCAUCAAAAGAGAUCUAGAAUCUCAGUUCCCUCCACGACAAUCCAUCUCCAUCUCUUCCCACCGUACAGAUCCGACGAGCCUAGCCAUCAAAAGAGAGAGUCGGUGAUUGUGAUUUUUUUGAAUGGGCUGAUAAAGAGAUGUCUAGAUACGAGAAGAGAUUAGCGCAACAUUUGAAAGAGAUGGAGGAGAGAAGACAGGCUGACAAUGACAAAGUUGAGGAAUUAAUUGAAAAAAAAAAUGCAAGGAACAAUUGGUGCAACAUUUGAAUGAAAUGGAAGAGAAAUUUGAGGAAUUGAUUGAAAAAAAAAUGUAAGGAACAAUUAGCGCAACAUAAUGGGAAAAUGUUUCGUGUUUUGUUAUUAGUUGUCAUUUUGCUUUUAGCAUUUUAUUGUUGUAGUUAUAGUGAACCUAGACAUAUUAACUUAAUGUUAAAAUGAAAUUAUGGAAACAAUUCAGUUGUA